rnacentral:rRNA from 1 species
CCUACGGGAGGCAGCAGUAGGGAAUAUUGCUCAAUGGGGGAAACCCUGAUGCAGCAACGCCGCGUGGAGGAUGAAGGUUUUCGGAUUGUAAACUUCUUUUGUUAGAGAAGAUAAUGACGGUAUCUAACGAAUAAGCACCGGCUAACUCCGUGCCAGCAGCCGCGGUAAUACGGAGGGUGCAAGCGUUACUCGGAAUCACUGGGCGUAAAGAGCGCGUAGGCGGGAUAGCAAGUCAGAUGUGAAAUCCUAUGGCUUAACCAUAGAACUGCAUUUGAAACUGGUGUUCUUGAGUGUGGGAGAGGUAGGUGGAAUUCUGGGUGUAGGGGUGAAAUCCGUAGAGAUCAAGAGGAAUACUCAUUGCGAAGGCGAGCUGCUAGAACAUAACUGACGCUGAUGCGCGAAAGCGUGGGGAGCAAACAGGAUUAGAUACCCGGGUAGUC